rnacentral:rRNA from 1 species
UGCCAGCCGCCGCGGUAAUACGGAGGGUGCAAGCGUUGUUCGGAAUUAUUGGGCGUAAAGCGCGUGUAGGCGGUUCGUUAAGUCUGAUGUGGAAGCCCGGGGCUCAACCCCGGAAGUGCAUUGGAAACUGGCGAACUUGAGUACGGGAGAGGAAAGUGGAAUUCCGAGUGUAGGGGUGAAAUUCGUAGAUAUUAGGAAGAACACCAGUGGCGAAGGCGGCUUACUGGCUCGAUACUGACGCUGAGGCGCGAAAGCGUGGGUAGCAAACCGGAUUAGAUA